GAUGAACGCUGGCGGCGUGCUUAACACAUGCAAGUCGAACGAUGAAGCCCAGCUUGCUGGGUGGAUUAGUGGCGAACGGGUGAGUAACACGUGAGUAACCUGCCCUUAACUCUGGGAUAAGCCUGGUAAACUGGGUCUAAUAACGGAUAGGAGCGUCCACCGCAUGGUGGGUGUUGGAAAGAUUUAUCGGUUUUGGAUGGACUCGCGGCCUAUCAGCUUGUUGGUGAAGUAUUGGUUAACCAAGGCCACGACGGGUAGCCGGCCUGAGAGGGUGACCGGCGACACUGGGACUGAGAGACGGCCCAGAAGCGUACGGGAGGCAGCAGUGGGGAGUAUUGCACAAUGGGGGCGAGCCUGAGGCAGCGACGCCGCGUGCGGGAAGACGGCCUUCGGGUUGUAAACCUAUUUCAGUGGGGAAGAAGCGAAAGUGACGGUACCUGCAGAAGAAGCACCGGCUAACUACGUG
rnacentral:rRNA from 1 species